rnacentral:rRNA from 2 species
CACGGCCCCCCUAUCUGGGACAAGCCCUGGAAACGGGGUCUAAUACCGGAUACGACCUGCCUCCGCAUGGGGGUGGGUGGAAAGCUCCGGCGGUGAAGGAUGAGCCCGCGGCCUAUCAGCUUGUUGGUGGGGUAAUGGCCUACCAAGGCGACGACGGGUAGCCGGCCUGAGAGGGCGACCGGCCACACUGGGACUGAGACACGGCCCAGACUCCUACGGGAGGCAGCAGUGGGGAAUAUUGCACAAUGGGCGAAAGCCUGAUGCAGCGACGCCGCGUGAGGGAUGACGGCCUUCGGGUUGUAAACCUCUUUCAGCAGGGAAGAAGCGCAAGUGACGGUACCUGCAGAAGAAGCGCCGGCUAACUACGUGCCAGCAGCCGCGGUAAUACGUAGGGCGCAAGCGUUGUCCGGAAUUAUUGGGCGUAAAGAGCUCGUAGGCGGCUUGUUGCGUCGGAUGUGAAAG